AGGGAAUAGAUACCCUGGUAGUCCUGGCAGUAAACGGUGCACGUUUGGUGUGGGCGCAAUCGACCGCGUCCGCGCCGGAGCUAAACGCGUUAAACGUGCCGCCUGGGAAGUACGGUCGCAAGAUUAAAACUCAAAGAAAUUGACGGGGACCCGCACAAGCGGUGGAGUAUGUGGCUUAAUUCGAUGCAACGCGAAGAACCUUACCUGGUCUUGACAUGCAUUGUGUCUCCGGUGAAAGCCGGAUAGGGUAGCAAUACCCGCUUUGCACAGGUGCUGCAUGGCUGUCGUCAGCUCGUGUCGUGAGAUGUUGGGUUAAGUCCCGCAACGAGCGCAACCCCGUGUGAUUUGUUGCCACCGGCUUAUGCCGAGCACUCGAAUCAGACUGCCUCGAUCAACGAGGAGGAAGGUGGGGAUGACGUCAAGUCCGUAUGGCCCUUACGACCAGGGCUGCACACGUACUACAAUGCCCAGUACAAUGUGAACCGAGACCGCGAGGUGGAGGAAAUCAAUAAAACCUGGGCUCAGUUCAGA
rnacentral:rRNA from 1 species